rnacentral:rRNA from 1 species
GACGAACGCUGGCGGCGUGCUUAACACAUGCAAGUCGAACGGAAAGGCCCUGCUUUUGUGGGUUGCUCGAGUGGCGAACGGGUGAGUAACACGUGAGUAACCUGCCCUUGACUUUGUGAUAACUUCAGGAAACUGGGGCUAAUACCGGAUAGGAGCUCCUGCUGCAUGGUGGGGGUUGGAAAGUUUCGGCGGUUGGGGAUGGACUCGCGGCUUAUCAGCUUGUUGGUGUGGUAGUGGCUUACCAAGGCUUUGACGGGUAGCCGGCCUGAGAGGGUGACCGGCCACAUUGGGACUGAGGUACGGCCCAGACUCCUACGGGAGGCAGCAGUGGGGAAUAUUGCACAAUGGGCGGAAGCCUGAUGCAGCAACGCCGCGUGCGGGAUGACGGCCUUCGGGUUGUAAACCGCUUUCGCCUGUGACGAAGCGUUAGUGACGGUAAUGGGUAAAGAAGCACCGGCUAACUACGUG